UACAGAGGGGGCAAGCGUUGUUCGGAAUUACUGGGCGUAAAGGGCGCGUAGGCGGCCUGCUAAGUCGAACGUGAAAUCCCUGGGCUCAACCCAGGAACUGCGUCCGAUACUGGUUGGCUUGAAUCCGGGAGAGGGAUGUGGAAUUCCAGGUGUAGCGGUGAAAUGCGCAGAUAUCAGGAGGAACACCGGUGGCGAAGGCGGAUCUCUGGGCCUUACCUGACGCUCAGGCACGAAAGCUAGGGGAGCGAACAGG
rnacentral:rRNA from 1 species